AUCACUUCUCAGCCUUUUGGAUAAGAUCAAGUGUAGUUUUUGUUCUCAUCAGUUUAAUAUCUGAUACAUCCCCUAGCCGGAGACCAUAUAUUAAAUUGUUCUUUUGGAAAUGGGAGAUGGAAUAGAGGCUUGCCCCGUCCAUGCCACACAUCGACCUGGUAUAGGAGAAGGUCCAGGAACAGUGCAUGGCCC